rnacentral:sRNA from 1 species
GCCGGACCCUGGAGAGUUUCUGCACUCCCUUCGGGACCCCCACAGUUGCCCGCUGUGGUCCCUGGACCAUCGCUGGAGGCAGCCCGAGCUCACAUGCUGGCUUUGGGGCCACAGCAGCUGCUGGCCCAGGAUGAGGAGGGGGACACGUGAGUAUAAGGGAUGCGGUUGUCUGCAGACUCUUGGCUUGGCGGGGGCUGUUCUCACGGCUGUCCCCCACCUGUCCUCAGGCUCCUUCACCUGUUCGCGGCUCGGGGGCUGCGCUGGGCGGCAUAUGCUGCGGCUGAGGUGCUCCAGGUGUACCGGCAUCUUGACAUUCGUGAGCAUAAGGGCAAGACCCCGCUUCUGGUGGCAGCUGCUGCCAACCAGCCCCUGAUUGUGGAGGAUCUGUUGAACCUGGGAGCAGAGCCCAAUGCCGCUGACCAUCAGGGACGUUCGGUCUUGCACGUGGCCGCUACCUACGGGCUCCCAGGAGUUCUCUUGGUAUGGCCAGCUGGCAGGCAGGGGUUUGUUUGGGGGGUAGACUGGUUGCCCAGAUUUUGGCUUCCACGGCCAGGAGGCCAGGGGAUACCCUUACCCAGCAGUCUGCCUUCUCUUCCUCCCAGGCUGUGCUUAACUCCGGGGUCCAGGUUGACCUGGAAGCCAGAGACUUCGAGGGUAAGUUGGGUGUGGGCAGAGCUGGUGUGGUUGGUGUGGCUGGGCGAGGUGGGUGCAGAUGCGGGUCCCUCACUGUCUCCAUUCUGCAGGCCUCACC